rnacentral:lncRNA from 1 species
GUUUUUCUAUCGUCCAGCUGUCUGAACACCCACAUGUAAACUUGACAAUGUAGCCUUUAUUCCUUUUUAAAAGCGGAUUUCAAGUGUCUAAAAGAAAGUUUUAGUUUCUUCUUCAUUACACAUCGGAUUACAUAACUUAGUUUACACUUGGCAUCGACAGUGAGAGUUGGGGUCUAUCAUACAAAGGCUUCAUCUGGCAUAAUGGGAGGAGUCGAAAAUACACAGAGCCUUUUUAUGAAAGAAAUACGGUCAUUGGGGUUUUGCUGGACUUGAGUGCUGGAACACUGACAUUCUUCCGAAAUGGAGUGAACCUUGGGGUGGCCUUCACUGGACUGGAGCAGGUCAGCAAGGCUCUGUAUCCUCUGGUGAGCUCUACGGCCCCUGAAAGUGAGCUUCAGCUGGGUGUGAGGAGCCAGAGAAUCUCCUCCCUACAGGAACAGUGCAUACACAUCAUCACACGGUCCCUCUCACAUUAUAGACACGCACACGAAUUACCAUUACCCACACCUCUGCUCUGUCAAAUACACACACAUGCGCCUUUAUAAGCGGGGCACGACCUGUUUCUCCAACUUCAAAUAACACAAUUCUGUCCAGUACAACAGAUCAAUUUUAUAUGAAGACUACCUCAAAAAUGUUUAUUUUAUCACUUAAAUUGAACAAAAACAGAAUGUGUGACCUUUAACUAUGUAAUCAUGUUGCCGUUUGUAUUAAUUAAUAUGCCAUUUCUGCCCUUUCUAGAUGAUGUUGUUGGCAAUGAUUGUGUUCCAAAAUAAGAUAUAAUCACCUGUAUUUAUAAUUAGUGUUUUUUGUUAUACUCACAGGGUAGUUAUUUUGGGGACAAAUAUGUAAAAGCCAAUUAAAUAUAUCUUCCUG